rnacentral:tRNA from 1 species
AGUCCUAUGGCUCAGAUGGUAGAGCAUCAUGCUAACGAUGCAAAGGCUGUGGGUUAAAUCCCAGGGGACUA